rnacentral:tRNA from 1 species
GUGCAGCUCAGUGGUAGAGUGCUUGCCUGGCAGGCACGGGGGCCUGGGUUUGAUCCCCAGCAC